rnacentral:lncRNA from 1 species
GGCUAAAGGUUCAACAGAUUGAAUAUGACUGGAAACCCCUGUUCUGUAACCGUUGUCUGAAGUUUGGUCAUGAUGCUCUGGACUGCUGGUACAAUUCCAAAUCAGAGACUGAGAAGGAGCAAACUGAAGGGAAACUGAAAAAGAGACAAGAGCCUAGAAGGAAAAGAUAUCCUAAAAAGCAAGAAGGCAUGUUAAUAAGACACAAGUUGAUGUUCCACAGGAUAUGAACUCAGAGGAAGCUGAACCUAGCAGGCCACCUGCUGCACUGGUGGUCAUUCCUACUCAGAUGAUGCCUACCCAACAUGAGACUCAACAGACCACUGCCAGCCAGAUGAGGAAUCUUGAAGCUGAUACUGAACAACUUUCUGUUGAAGUGCUAGAUUCUGGUUGAAAAGGUCAACAGAGUGACCCAGGGCCCUCUUAUACCCUUAAAUGAUAUUAGUCACUUGGAAUAUAAGAGGGCUAAAUCUAGCCCAUAAGCAGAAAGAACUAAAAGAAUUUCUUGCUGCUAAUAAAGUUUAUGUAAUGGGAUGUUUAGAAACAAGAGUUAAAGAACAUAAAGCUAAGAAAAUCCAAGACAGAAUUUUAAAGGGUUGGAAUGUGUAUUGCAACUACUCAAAGGCUGUGAAUGGUAGAAUAUGGCUGAUUUGGAAGACUCAUAUUCAGGUACAGAUUUCUCUUGUUACUUAUCAGAGUAUUCAUUGCUACAUAGAAGACUCCUUCAGCCAUGUAAAGAUGCAGGACAGUAUCAUCUAUGCUCAAAAUGAUGCUAGCCUUAGAGAGCUGCUGUGGACAGAUUUGAGGAGUAUUCCUAUUCCUAGCCAGGAUAUCUGGUUAUUGAGUGGUGACUUCAACAAUGUUUUAAAUCCUGAUGACAGAAUUGGAUCACCUAUCACAGAAGCUGAAAUUAAAGGAUUUAAGACAGUUAUAAAUGACCUGCAAAUUUCUACCUAGUCAGGAUAUCUGGUUAUUGAGUGGUGACUUCAAUAAUGUUUUAAACCCUGAUGACAGAAUUGGAUCACCUAUCAUAGAAGCUGAAAUAAAAGGUUUUAAGACAUCUAUAAAUGACCUGCAACAUUCU